CCUACGGGAGGCAGCAGUGAGGAAUCUUGGACAAUGGUCGGAAGACUGAUCCAGCCAUGCCGCGUGCAGGAUGACGGUCCUAUGGAUUGUAAACUGCUUUUGUAAGGGAAGAAUAAGGAGUACGCGUACUUUGAUGACGGUACCUUAUGAAUAAGCAUCGGCUAACUCCGUGCCAGCAGCCGCGGUAAUACGGAGGAUGCGAGCGUUAUCCGGAAUCAUUGGGUUUAAAGGGUCUGUAGGCGGGCAAAUAAGUCAGAGGUGAAAGCGCUUAGCUCAACUAAGCAACUGCCUUUGAAACUGUUAGUCUUGAAUUAUUGUGAAGUAGUUGGAAUGUGUAGUGUAGCGGUGAAAUGCUUAGAUAUUACACAGAACACCGAUAGCGAAGGCAUAUUACUAACGAUAUAUUGACGCUGAUGGACGAAAGCGUGGGGAGCGAACAGGAUUAGAUACCCCAGUAGUC
rnacentral:rRNA from 1 species